rnacentral:lncRNA from 1 species
AUGUAUUAUGUUAAGAUAAGUCAGGUGCAAUACGAGUUGUACAUAAUGCAGUCAUGGUUGUACGGUGGUUUUGAGAAAUCUGGGUUGUACCAUGGUUUUGGAAUGCAAGUUGUACCACUUGCUUAAACUGUUUGUCACCUCUUCUGUUUCUUUACUUCAGUUUACAAAACCCAUGCUAUAGGCUUCAUCUCUCACACAACUCUCUCUUCUUUUUUGUCGGUGUUUCAUGGCGUGAUGUUGCCAAUGUCCGGAGUGGUUAACGAUAGGAUUAGGCUUUCGCCGCAUGAGGCGGUGAGGAUGGUGUAUUGUGGUGGUGGUUCGAAACACCAUUAAACAUUCAGGCGAUGUUGGCGGCGAAUUGCUAGGGUUCCAAAGAAAGCGGUGAUGAGGAAACAGGCGGAGGAAAUUUUGGUGUCGACCACCAUUCAUGGCGUCGGCGAUGGCGGAUGCCGGUGGGCGAGGAACGACAGAAAUGAUGAGCAGCUGUGGUGGUUUUCAUUAAAAACCUCUGGAGAAAGAAAGGAAAAAGAAACUGAGGGGCAGAUCGGAGAAAUCGAGCUUUUCUACUCAGUCGGUUUGUAAUUGUCAUUAUAAACCCUAUAAACAACUCUCGAGAAAGAAAGGAAGAAGAGAUGGCAAAAAUCGAGAACCCUAUACGGAGGACGACAUGGCGGGAGGAGAGUUCUCUGGCGACGACGUCAAAGAAAUUGGUGUCUUUGUUGUGUGUUCUGACGGGAAAGGGGCGAUGUGUACCCUGGCUUCUCAAGCCCAAACUUUGGCGGAAGAGGUGGACCGGUGAUGACUGCUCAAACGAUGGUAGGUGGCUAGCUACGCAACAUCGACGUCGACGAAACCAAGAACGAGAUGAAAUAAGGUUGAUAAUGACUACCAAGACGAACUGAUUAGAACCCUUAGGACAUUAAGGGUUGAUGAUUUGGAGCACCGACAGAGAAUUGUCGAGUUAAGGCAGACUAAUUGAUGAUUGACAUCAUCACCUCCUCUUCUUCCACGGAGUCUUAAACCUGGGAUAACUCAUAGGUUCACUCACUCUGAUUCCUUACAAGAUCGCUUCAAGAUCCCUAAUCCUGUUGAGAAGAAGACGGUUUUCUCGGGUUCCACAGAAUCUACUCUAUGGCGGUGUUGACUGGUGGUGGAAGGGUUGUGACGACGACGUUCAGGUCACCCACUAUAACAGAUCAAGAAACGAAGGGCAUGGUGGAGUUCUGGUAGUCUAGCCGCCACCUCCGGUGAUGGCGGCUAGGGUCCAGACGAGAUUUCGGAGAAACUCCGAUAGGCUCGAACACGCAUGCAUGUUCUAUUUUCAUGGAGGUCGGAAACUCUCAAGGUUAGAUUCUAAGUUUGGGGGUGUUCCUUCUAUUUUUCGGUGACAUGUGUAAGCUUCAUGUGGUUCAAGUUUCGAAACAUGUUGAGUAUUGGUGACGAUCAAGUUGGAGGGUUGUACGCACGGCCAGGGGGUAUACAUGAUCCCAACAGGAGAAAGUGGUGGGGAACAACGACGACGCGUAGCAGAGGCUGGUGAAAGUUGGUCAACUUCACUUUUUGCAGCCAAAUACCUAUUAAAGAUACAGAGGCGGCUAAAGUGGCGGAGAUACUAGCGGGGUAUGGGGUGGAUCCACAUGCGUAUGGACCGGUAGUGAAUUCUCUCAGGAAGGACACCGAAACCAUGGCUUGAUUUCAUGAUGAAGGCAAUAAUGAAACAAAAGGUGCAGCCAAUAUUGCAUAAGGAUGGUUAGACAGUGGUUCAAAAAGUAGUGCUUAGUUCAAGGUGUGAAGUGAACUAUAUAUAAUCUGGAUGAUUAUGGCUGUAGUAUCUGGUAUCCAUCAAGAUUGUUAAGUAAUACCAUUUGAUAAUUUAAAAGAGUUGGUUAUGUGAUAAGGAAUUCUAACCAAGUGGUUAUUAUGAGGAGAUAAUGGUUGCGAAACACAUUUAGAAUGCAUCCCCAAUUUUUGACAUUCAAGAAUUUGGGUAAUCCUCUUAUCUACAAUUUUUUAUUGUAGUAAAAAGUUUCCUGUUCUUUCAUUACGUGCAUCCUACUUGCCCUUUAUAUUGCGUUUUAUCUUAUAUAUGAAGGUUUUAUCUUA